CCUACGGGUGGCAGCAGUGGGGAAUAUUGGGCAAUGGGCGCAAGCCUGACCCAGCAACGCCGCGUGAAGGAAGAAGGCUUUCGGGUUGUAAACUUCUUUUGUCAGGGACGAAGCAAGUGACGGUACCUGACGAAUAAGCCAAGGCUAACUACGUGCCAGCAGCCGCGGUAAUACGUAGGUGGCAAGCGUUAUCCGGAUUUACUGGGUGUAAAGGGCGUGUAGGCGGGGAAGCAAGUCAGAUGUGAAAAUCACGGGCUCAACCGGUAGCCUGCAUUUGAUACUGGUUUUCUUGAGUACUGGUGAGGCAGACGGAAUUCGUGGUGUAGCGGUGAAAUGCGUAGAUAUUAGGAGGAACACCAGUGGCGAAGGCGGUCUGCUGGACAGCAACUGACGCUGAGGCGCGAAAGCGUGGGGAGCAAACAGGAUUAGAUACCCUGGUAGUC
rnacentral:rRNA from 1 species